CCUACGGGGGGCAGCAGUGAGGAAUAUUGGUCAAUGGGCGCGAGCCUGAACCAGCCAAGUAGCGUGAAGGAUGACUGCCCUACGGGUUGUAAACUUCUGUUAUAAAGGAAUAAAGUGAGGCACGUGUGCCUUUUUGUAUGUACGUUAUGAAUAAGGAUCAGCUAACUCCGUGCCAGCAGCCGCGGUAAUACGGAGGAUCCGAGCGUUAUCCGGAUUUAUUGGGUUUAAAGGGAGCGUAGAUGGGUUGUUAAGUCAGUGGUGAAAGUUUGCGGCUCAACCGUAAAAUUGCAAUUGAUACUGGCAGCCUUCCGUACAGUUGCUGUAGGCGGCAUUCGUGUUGUAGCGGUGACCUGCUUAGAUAUCACG
rnacentral:rRNA from 1 species